GUGGAGUCAGUGGGUAUGUGAGUGGAUGAAAGCCAGAGUUACAAGGACUAAACAACAGAACGUGACGUCUGACUGGGGCGUGGAAAGAAAAGCCCUAAGGUAUCCGAUUUUAACACGUAACUUUCCAAGCUGAUUGCAUUCCCAAGAAGAGGGCAAAGCCUGGGAAGCAACCUGAGAAAGGGUCAAGUUAACACCUGCCAUUUCCACACUUGAAAACAACCGAGAAGAAACAGCAGGCAGGCUGGCUGCGGAAUGACAGCACGCUCGACCCUGGAGGAGGCUCCGCCAGAGUUUGACUACGAGAGGCGUGACAGAAGGAAAA